GAUGAACGCUCGCUACAGGCUUAACACAUGCAAGUCGAGGGGGAACGCCAUCGAAAGCUUGCUUUUGAUGGGCGUCGACCGGCGCACGGGUGAGUAACGCGUAUCCAACCUGCCCAUCACUUGGGGAUAACCUUGCGAAAGUAAGACUAAUACCCAAUGAUAUCUCUAGAAGACAUCUGAAAGAGAUUAAAGAUUUAUCGGUGAUGGAUGGGGAUGCGUCUGAUUAGCUUGUUGGCGGGGUAACGGCCCACCAAGGCAACGAUCAGUAGGGGUUCUGAGAGGAAGGUCCCCGACAUUGGAACUGAGACACGGGCCACACACCUACGGGAGGGAGCAGUGAGGAAGAUAGGUGAAUGGGCGAGAGCCUGAACCAGCCAAGUAGCGUGCAGGAACACGGCGCUAUGGGUUGUAAACUGCUUUUAGAAGGGAAUAAAGUGAGAGUCGUGACUCUUUUUGUAUGUACCUUAUGAAUAAGGACCGGCUAAUUCCGUG
rnacentral:rRNA from 1 species